rnacentral:lncRNA from 1 species
AUGACCCCGCCACCGCAGUCCCCACUCCUAGGCACACAGGUCGAGGAGGACCGCGCUGACUACAAAGAGUUCCAGGACUUCUCCAGUCUGCCCAACACCCGCAGCAUCACCUGGGACGACUCUUUCUACCCUUUCCAGGAGGAGGAGGAGCACGGCGUCGAGGGCGUGGAGAACGUCCUGGAGGAGGGCGUCCUGGAGGCGUGGGGCUGCUGCAGACGUCAUGCAGGGUGGAACCGAUCGCAUCCGAGCCCUGAGCUAGCAGGGGCGGGUGUCCACGCGAGGGCCCCCGCCGUGGGAUGUCGCCAGAGGAGUGGCCACUUACACGUCCGCCUCAUGCAGAGGCUCCUGGAGCGCCCCUGCCAGCAGCGGUUGGGGAAAAAGUACCAGCUUGAGCUGCCUCCGCUCCACGAGAGGGCGCGGAAGCCCAAGGGCUCGAAGAACUGCCUGCAGAGGGUCAGGGACUGCGAGCUGUCCGUGCUGACGCGGCGUUCCGUGCGUGGCCCGGAGGACCGGGGCGCCCUGGACCACAUGGUCAGGAUGAUCACCAGCCUCUAACAGCCCCGCCGUGGCCCUCGCGUGCCAGACCGUGUGCCCCCAGAGCUCCCUGUGCGUGGGGAAGAGGCGGCUGGCGGAGCAGGAAAUCCUGGCGGCUGAGGAAAUUCUGGCGACGCGGCGGGGGGUGGGGAGGCAGGCGCAGGAGGCGGACGAAGCGGAGGGCGCAGAGCAGCACAAGCGGCCCUGCCCAGAAGCCGCGGGCUCCCGGCAGGGCUCCCCAAGAGCCGGCCUCCCACCUGCCCCGCUGCCGGGGUCCUGGGGCUCUGUCGACCCCGCCCCGCGGAAGGCCAGCCUCCUGCCCCUGCAGCGCCUGCUGCGGAGCAGCUUGCGGCCUGACGUGGUGGUGCCCCGGAUCCGCCUCAGCAAGGCGCCAGCCUUACCCAGGUGCACAGGGUACCCUGGGGCCAGCACAGAGCUUGUCAAGUAAUGCUCCUGGUGUCCACAAAACAGCUCCAGAGAUACCUGCAUUUUGAAAAGCCUGCCAAGCCAACAAGUAUGGGGCAGGACCCAGAUUUCUUUGGCAAAUCCGAAGGUGAGCUGGCCACUUGCCUGUGGAGGCGAGUCUGUUGUGGGUGAAACAGAAGCCCCUGGGGUAAGGCCAGAUCCCAGGCCUGAAAAGGAUGCAAAGUCUGCUGUUUCAGGCUGUCAGGAAGAAUCGUGGGUACAAAGUGAAUAUGAUGAAAUGCAUCCCAGAGAGGAAAUGAAUGUGCCGUCACUAAGAAGUGGGUCUGGCUGCCAGGUCUCUGGCAGCCCACCGGCAAGAGGACUACAUCCCCUGCAGCCCUGCCGUCCACACUACAUGAUGUGGGGAGGCUGUCUCUUCACUCUUACCCUGGGGAACCAAGCCUGCUUUGAGGAGUGAGUCACAGCCCUGAUGUGUGCCUUGCAUUACUCUUUCCCCAGGUGUGCCUGGAGACUCAAGCUUGCUCAUUUCUGUCCUGACACAUCUCGCUGAUCCUGCGGUGGUCAGAGUCCUCCUGUUCUGUGUCAUCUCCUAGACAUCAUUAGUCUUUCACGUGAUAAAAUA